AUUGAACGCUGGCGGCAGGCCUAACACAUGCAAGUCGAACGGUAGCACAGAGAGCUUGCUCUCGGGUGACGAGUGGCGGACGGGUGAGUAAUGUCUGGGAAACUGCCCGAUGGAGGGGGAUAACUACUGGAAACGGUAGCUAAUACCGCAUAACGUCGCAAGACCAAAGUGGGGGGCCUUCGGGCCUCACACCAUCGGAUGUGCCCAGAUGGGAUUAGCUAGUAGGUGGGGUAAUGGCUCACCUAGGCGACGAUCCCUAGCUGGUCUGAGAGGAUGACCAGCCAAACUGGAACUGAGAAACGGUCCAGACUCCUACGGGAUGCAGCAGUGGGGAAUAUUGCACAAUGGGCGCAAGCCUGAUGCAGCCAUGCCGCGUGUAUGAAGAAGGCCUUCGGGUUGUAAAGUACUUUCAGCGGGGAGGAAGGCGGUGAAGUUAAUAACUUCACCGAUUGACGUUACCCGCAGAAGAAGCACCGGCUAACUCCGUGCCAGCCGCCGCAGUAACAC
rnacentral:rRNA from 1 species